UUAAAUGAGAGUUUGAUCCUGGCUCAGGAUAAACGCUGGCGGCGUGCAUAACACAUGCAAGUCGAACGAUGAAACUUAGUUGAUUUCUUCGGAAUGAUUUUAAGUGGAUUAGUGGCGAACGGGUGAGUAACACGUGAGUAACCUGCCUUACACAAGGGGAUAGCCUUUGGAAACGAAGAAUAAUACCCUAUAAAGUCUAAUCAGCUCCUGCUGGAAAGACCAAAGAUUUAUCGGUGUAAGAUGGACUUGCGUCUGAUUAGCUAGUUGGUGAGAUAUCUUUUUUACGGGAUGAAAAUGACAGUACCGUAAGAAUAAGGUCCGGCUAAAUACGUGCCAGCAGCCGCGGUAAUACGUAUGGACCGAGCGUUGUCCGGAAUCAUUGGGCGUAAAGGGUACGUAGGCGGCCUAGUAAGUUAGGAGUGAAAGAAUAUAGCUCAACUAUAUAAAGCUUUUAAAACUGUUAGGCUUGAGAGAUGAAAGGGAAAGUGGAAUUCCUAGUGUAGCGGUGAAAUGCGCAGAUAUUAGGAAGAAUACCGGUGGCGAAGGCGACUUUCUGGUCAUCAUCUGACGCUGAGGUACGAAAGCGUGGGUAGCAAACAGGAUUAGAUACCCUGGUAGUCCACGCUGUAAACGAUGAGUGUUAGGUUCUUGGAAUAAUCUGGGAGCCGCAGCUAACGCAUUAAACACUCCGCCUGGGGAGUACGCACGCAAGUGUGAAACUCAAAGGAAUUGACGGGGACCCGCACAAGCAGCGGAGCAUGUGGUUUAAUUC
rnacentral:rRNA from 1 species